rnacentral:rRNA from 1 species
AGAGUUUGAUCCUGGCUCAGGAUGAACGCUAGCUACAGGCUUAACACAUGCAAGUCGAGGGGAAACGACAUCGAAAGCUUGCUUUUGAUGGGCGUCGACCGGCGCACGGGUGAGUAACGCGUAUCCAACCUGCCCACCACUUGGGGAUAACCUUGCGAAAGUAAGACUAAUACCCAAUGAUAUCUCUAGAAGACAUCUGAAAGAGAUUAAAGAUUUAUCGGUGAUGGAUGGGGAUGCGUCUGAUUAGCUUGUUGGCGGGGUAACGGCCCACCAAGGCUACGAUCAGUAGGGGUUCUGAGAGGAAGGUCCCCCACAUUGGAACUGAGACACGGUCCAAACUCCUACGGGAGGCAGCAGUGAGGAAUAUUGGUCAAUGGACGAGAGUCUGAACCAGCCAAGUAGCGUGCAGGAUGACGGCCCUAUGGGUUGUAAACUGCUUUUAUAAGGGAAUAAAGUGAGUCUCGUGAGACUUUUUGCAUGUACCUUAUGAAUAAGGACCGGCUAAUUCCGUGCCAGCAGCCGCGGUAAUACGGAAGGUCCGGGCGUUAUCCGGAUUUAUUGGGUUUAAAGGGAGCGUAGGCCGGAGAUUAAGCGUGUUGUGAAAUGUAGAUGCUCAACAUCUGCACUGCAGCGCGAACUGGUUUCCUUGAGUACGCACAAAGUGGGCGGAAUUCGUGGUGUAGCGGUGAAAUGCUUAGAUAUCACGAAGAACUCCGAUUGCGAAGGCAGCUCACUGGAGCGCAACUGACGCUGAAGCUCGAAAGUGCGGGUAUCGAACAGGAUUAGAUACCCUGGUAGUCCGCACGGUAAACGAUGGAUGCCCGCUGUUGGUCUGAAUAGGUCAGCGGCCAAGCGAAAGCAUUAAGCAUCCCACCUGGGGAGUACGCCGGCAACGGUGAAACUCAAAUGAAUUGACGG